rnacentral:rRNA from 1 species
ACCACUUCGGUGGGGAUUAGUGGCGAACGGGUGAGUAACACGUGGGCAAUCUGCCCUUCACUCUGGGACAAGCCCUGGAAACGGGGUCUAAUACCGGAUACGACACUCUCGGGCAUCCGAUGAGUGUGGAAAGCUCCGGCGGUGAAGGAUGAGCCCGCGGCCUAUCAGCUUGUUGGUGAGGUAACGGCUCACCAAGGCGACGACGGGUAGCCGGCCUGAGAGGGCGACCGGCCACACUGGGACUGAGACACGGCCCAGACUCCUACGGGAGGCAGCAGUGGGGAAUAUUGCACAAUGGGCGAAAGCCUGAUGCAGCGACGCCGCGUGAGGGAUGACGGCCUUCGGGUUGUAAACCUCUUUCAGCAGGGAAGAAGCGAAAGUGACGGUACCUGCAGAAGAAGCGCCGGCUAACUACGUGC